AAUUAAAUAAAAAGCUAUUCAUGAGAAGAAUCACCAAGGUUUAUAUGACCUUAGUCUGAAGGUACAAUUUACCUGAGCUUCAUCUGAAGUGAUUAUCUGAAAUACAGGAUGAGAAUGACACUAGACUUCCAGUGUGGGAAGUAUUUAACAUUUUUCAGGAAUGGCUCAAAAAUGAGCCAGGGCUGAAAGCUACAGCAGCUUGUAUGAUCAAGCUCCACAGCUCUAACAUUUUACACAACACUAAUAUAAGGGAGAAGGCAUGGGGGGCAGUUCUUUCUGAGAGGACAGGACUAAAUCUGUUCUCAUCACUUCUACUAAACCAAAGAGAAAAGUCACCCAAAAUCACAAGUCUCAGAUUCAGCUAUGAAUUAAGGUGCAUGGAAGUCUUUGCACAAGGAAUUGAUUUGGCUGAAUAUGUUAAGACCACAUAAACAAGUGGCUAUGGCAGCUGCCCCCCCAGCCUCUUCCAACACAGACACGAAGCAGCAGAUAUUAGCCAUCAUCAGUUUCCACGUAAAAAAAGCAAUAAAGGGUAGCAGUACCCCUAAGACCUUACCCAUGAGGGAGUAUUUCAAAACUAUUUAAAAAUAAACUAACUCUGUACCUGAGGCUCAACCACUAUUUUGCUUUCACUCUCUAUCUGCACACUCCCCUUUCGCAUUAAGGAUUCCUCUUUGCAGGUUAGCAUCUGAAUUGAUUAUGCCUAAACCACACGACAGCCUUCCCAGUGUGGAAUAAGAGAGUUGAACACGGCAGGGGCAGAAUAGCUGUUUCAAAACCAUGAUUCUCAGCUAGCUGUCUGAACCAAUAAACCUGAGGAGAAACCUUUCUCCUGCAUCAAAAACGUAAGCAUCAAUGUACCUACUGGGUGCCCCCUAGAAAUUGCUGUCAUGUACAUGCAUAUAAACACAGGGGUCAAAUUAUCUCUUUCAAGGUGAUGCAGGGAUUUCAUUACUUCGAAAAUGAUAGAAUCCAGUGGAAGUGAAUCCUUAUUAAACAGAGUGGUCAAAUGAAACACAUUGUUUUGUUCAUUAUGAAAUCAUGACUGUAUCGUCAAAAAGCCUAUGGGUCUCAACUUAGCACUCCCUAACUUCUUUGGUUUUCCAGCCUUUCCCUCUUCCAGCCUUUGAAAAUGAAGUCCACUAGUGUGAGACCUGAAUGCUUGAUUUAGUGACUCAGUGCUCAUGACAUAGACGUGAACUUUAUACUUAUGGUGUGAAGUCACAGGUAUUUUGGGGCCAGCUGGAUCUGCUACAGUAAAAUCACACCAACGACUCCUGCUUUCAGACUUGCCUAUGGAGACAUUGGCAAAGAGCAGAGGAGACUGAAAAGUGCUUAGAAAUCUGGGAACUGGGACUUCCACAUUCCAGUUCUUCCUGUGGCUUACCUCAUCAGUGAUCCUCAGCUGAUCACAUAGUUCUUCAGUGCCACUGUUUUCUCCGCUGACUCACAAGAGUGUUAGAUGUGAGCACCCUACCAGUGAUACACAAAAUAGCUCUGGUGGGUUUCCAGAAUCAUCAGGAGCACUCAGGUCUUCAAAAGACUAGGAAAGCAUAAAGAAACACUGUGAAUGCAUGAUGCAGCAGAAGCACUUCUUUCUCAUGGGCACUUGGACAGCCAAGGCUUAUGCUGACUUUUUCAGGCUUUUCACCAAGAAACAACAAAAGAAUCAACAAAAGAAAGCCUGUGAAGAACUAUCCCAUGCCUGCAUUGCCUUUACAUCUGUGCCAACAAGACAGCUCUUUUGACAAAAGCAGGGCAUGGUGUGACAACCCUUAAGUAGUAACGGAGACAAGCACUCAGUGGUAAAGCUUUCAGCAAUAGCUGUAACUAAAUCAAACCACCAGCAGAAGGUGUGCCAGCAUUUGGAAAUUCCCUUUUUCCUCAUCCCUAUGAUUUAAGAUUAACAGGAUCUCAGGUAGAUAGCUAUUCGUCACAACUGCUUGGGGAAAAACACUCAACAGGAAGCAGGACAUGUGAAAUUACUGGUGUAAAUGAAUGCAGUGCCACUGAAAAUCAGGCGGUUGCAUUGCUCUGUACCACCAGUGCUGAUUCUGGCUCAAUGCCUUCAGCACAUUGUAGAAAUUGAAAGCUCUGUGUCUGCCCCUGCAGAGGACAUGCAGUCAGCCUUCCUGUGAGCCUCCUCAGGGUGCUAAUACACAAGAGACUCUCGCUCCUCCGCUCUGCAUUUCUCCUUUCACUUUGCUUCAACAUCAAUGUUUUUGUGAAAAA